UACGAGUAUUCAAGGGGGAAGAUAUUUUCUAUACUUCCUGCAUACCAUGUAGUGGUACUCACAUGCAUGUGGUUCUCUGGGAGGAGUUUAAAGCAAUAAGGUGGAGGAUAGGAUACGUUUUCCAUCCCUCCCUGUGCUGACUUAGCUUGUUCUACACUUAGCUGUUUUGGAUUGGCACAAGAUAGAGGAUUUUGUUCGGUAUGCUCACUGCUGUGUAAGGUGUUUCAAAAAUAUUGGCUUUGCAGCCUAAUGAAAAUACAGGGAUUUUUCAGAAAAAUCAGUAGAACCUAUCCUCUACGGAUACGCAGAUGUAGCGAUUAUUGGAGUUUUAAUUAAAAUAGCAGAUAACUUUUCGGACCACAAAGCUGAAACACUUCCUGUGACUCAAAUGGCUCCAGCACAGCUAUUUCCUAGAAGACAUCCUCCCUGAUUUCUUGUGGUGCCUGUUAGAUUGCUGAAGUUGCAGUGCAGAGAUAAACCAGAUACCAGAAUAGAGGAACGUUUCUCAGAAGGACCAGUGAGACAUCUCCUGACCUCUGUCUCCAUCUGAGGAUAUAUCUGGAGUAGAGCAGAGAAGCAGAGGCACCACAGACUACAGAUACCCAUGGGGAAUGUUGUUCUGCCUCAAGGUUCAGCUCUACAAUAUGGCCAUGGACCGUAUAUACCCAUAGGUUCCUCAAAGAUAUGGAAAAGACAAUUGAGGUCUUAUUGCUCCUGUUGGAAACUUCUGCCGACUACAGCAAGAGUUGGACUGGGCCCAGAGAAACCAGAUACAUACAAGUUGCAAUGAGUUGGCCACACAAGCAAGGAAAAUCACAGAUAACGGAUGCACACAAAUUAGUAAUGUACCUUUUAGGUCAUCCAGUACAGCUUGCUGACACAUUGAGAUUGUCUCCUAUGGCAUAUUUUUGGUUGCUUUGGAUGACUGGAUUAAAUGUCCUAAGUAAUGCCAUUUACUUAAGGAGAGAUUGUGCUGCCCAGUAUAUCCUGUUAGAAGUCUUUUUUUCCUUUCUUAACAUCAUCAUAUUUCUCCCAGUUUUGUUCCUUUGCAAACCUCCUUAUUUCCCUUCUGCGAUGCUAUUUUUUCUCCAGUGUCUUUAGACUAAUGUGAUGUUCCAUUUAGUUAACAUUAAGUCAGUUCAUACCUAUUUAGAUCAUUUAAUCUUUUCUGAUAAAUCAGUCCUUUCAGUCUCCUGGUUAUUUUCUCAUCUCCUCUUGUCCCACUCCUGUCUGUCAGUAGCUUUUUUAGCUAUGAUAUUUUAAAGAUGUGGUGCAUUUAUCUGAACUAACGGCAGGUUGGGCACAGACUUGAGCACCCUCAAUACCUUCUCACUGAAAACCACUCAAGGGAAGGCCACUGGCACUCUGUGCAAACAAGCAGGCAGAGCAUUCUGUUCAAACCAUUUCCUUGGUAUCACCUGUUUUACUGAUCAUCAACAAAAAACAUUUAAACAUUUAGCCUAGUGAUUCAAAAACCAAACAUGGGUCACU
rnacentral:lncRNA from 7 species